UACGGAGGGUGCGAGCGUUGUUCGGAAUCACUGGGCGUAAAGCGCGUGUAGGCGGCUUGGUAAGUCUGAUGUGAAAUCCCUGGGCUCAACCUAGGAACUGCAUCGGAUACUGCCUGGCUAGAGGACGAGAGAGGGAAGUGGAAUUCCUGGUGGAGGGGUGAAAUCCGUAGAUAUUGGGAAGAACACCGGUGGCGAAGGCGGCUCACUGGCUCGUUUCUGACGCUGAGGCGCGAAAGCGUGGGGAGCAAACAGG
rnacentral:rRNA from 1 species